CUUCACGGCGGGCCAGGCGGGGCCAGUUUCGGCUGGGCCGGGUCUCCAUAGCGUGCCGGUUUUCUCACCCCCGUCGUUUGGCCCGCCACCUCA
rnacentral:antisense_RNA from 1 species